rnacentral:rRNA from 1 species
GACGAACGCUGGCGGCGUGCUUAACACAUGCAAGUCGAACGGAAAGGCCCUGCUUGCCGGGUGCUCGAGUGGCGAACGGGUGAGUAACACGUGGGUGAUCUGCCCCUUAUUUUGGGAUAAGCCUGGGAAACUGGGUCUAAUACUGGAUAGGACCAUGCUGUAGGUGGUGUGGUGGAAAGAUUAGUUUCGGUAAGGGAUGAGCUCGCGGCCUAUCAGCUUGUUGGUGGGGUAAUGGCCUACCAAGGCGUCGACGGGUAGCCGGCCUGAGAGGGUGGACGGCCACAUUGGGACUGAGAUACGGCCCAGACUCCUACGGGAGGCAGCAGUGGGGAAUAUUGCACAAUGGGCGCAAGCCUGAUGCAGCGACGCCGCGGGGGGGAUGACGGCCUUCGGGUUGUAAACUCCUUUCAGCCAUGACGAAGCCCUUGUGGUGACGGUAGUGGUAGAAGAAGCACCGGCUAACUACGUG